GUAUCACCUCGUCUUGCCUGUUGUCCCAUAUGAUUCUAAUUCAAGAGUGACCAGACUCCCUAAAUCAAGACCAGUACUUCGCCGGCGUACGAGCUGAGGGACGAUCUUCCCGGGAUUCCAAGGAUGAUCCCGGCGAAUUUUGCGUUCUGCAAUCCCAGCCUGUACUGGCCAGAUGCUGACUGGCGACCGAAGCCGGCCCCCGAGGUGCCUGACCUCGCAGCAACAGCGCAUGGAGGAAGACGGAGACGGAGAAACAGAUGGGAAGACGCGCAGGAGGUUCUGUGUCCCUGGUCCCGUUCCUCCGCUCCCCUGGGGCGUGCCCGGUGUGCGCGCCUUUGGGGGGGGUGUUCUGUCACACCCCGAUCGUGCCGAUCCUCCUGUGCCACGCCCCCCUCGUUAACCUCAUGUGGAUUCCCAGUGUUUAUCAGCUGUUUUGAGUUGUCUUUGUUAGUUAGGUGCAUUUAAGUCCACGUCAGAGUUUAUUUCCCUAGUCCUGUCAUUGUGGUGUUAUGCCGUUUUCAGUCCUGUCUGCCUCUCUGAAUGUCAAUUAAAACCCUUACUUACUCGGCACGGUCAUGACAAGUGGUGUUUAGAAAAAAAAAUUAUUACUGCGCUGCCUUAAAAUUUUAAGUUGACUUACAUUUGGCCACCUCACUAUCACUUGUGGCAUAAAAGUAAAUACCUCCAGUCCUGGGGAAAAUCAUAAAACAGUGAGAAUUUACUGUUAAAAAGCUGUUUCAGUUACUAGUCUUGGAUGAUAUGUAAUACAUGCGGAAAGGUGUUAGGCCAGUUUAUACUCUACACUGGCAACACUUACGCCUGCUGUCGCUGCACUAGCAGUGUUGCUGCUGACACUUGCACGUGUUCUUUACGUCAGUCUGGAGGAUUAAAAGUUACAUCCUCCAGGGGCAGUGUAAGAACAUCAGCUUGGUUGGCUCGUUUGUUUCCGGUCAUUCAGUAUCUCGUGCUAGUUAAUAUUUCAUACUUAGAAUUAGUGGUGUGCGAUACUACAAGAUUUGGUAUCGAUGCGAUACCAAGUAAAUACAGGGAAAGUAUCGCCGAUACGAUACUGAUACUAAUUAAUAAUUAAGGUAGAUGCAUCAUCAAAUUGCUAAAGCUUAAUUAAUUUUCAUUACCUUUAAGUGUUUUUGUGAUUUUUUUUGAUUAAUUAGGUAAAACCCAGGACAGAAUUUGGGCAAAGUUUAUAAGUAAAUAAAUACUGUAGUGUAGGGUGACCAAGCGUCCUCUUUUGCCUGGACAUGUCCACUUUUUACGUCCUGUCCGGGGCGUCCUGGCGGGUUUUAUAAAUUCACGAAAAUGUCCGGUUUUUCAUUGGACCAUUACGCGUGUACGUAAAUUGACUGGCGUUUUGCACACAAUACUAGGGUACUACUUUUUUGCGCGACGUAAUUACCAGGAGGCUGCCUUGUGGGCAGGUCUGCGCCGCGCGCGCAAACACACAGACACAGACAGGGAGCAGUGCAGACAGGGAUCAGAGCAGAGAGCGGAGCAGUAUAGCAGGGAAAAUGCCGAAGCGUAAGUGCAGCUUCACCGAUGAACUGCAAAGAAAAUUUCCCACAUACCGUCCUGGUCGGGACAAGUGGGAGGUGGAGUGCACUGUGUGCAAAGCUGGUACAUAUGUCUCGGUAUCCAAUAAAGGUGGUGGGGAUCUGAAAGCCCACAUGGACACCGAGAAACAUAAAAAGGCUGUGCGAGGUGAGAGUUCAUCUGCAAAGUUGACAGAGUUUUUUGUCAGACGAGGAAAAACAGAGGAUGAUGUAAAUGCAGCAGAAGGUGCAAUGGCUUUUCAUACAGUGAAACAUCACAACAGUUACAGGUCCAUGGAUUGCACCAGUACUUUGCUUAAAAAGGCAUUUCCUGACUCUGACAUUGCAAAAAAGUUUAGUAGUGCUCGCACCAAGACGGAAGCCAUCGUCAAUGGUGCUAUAGCCCCCGACUCUGUUGAAAUCACUCAUGAAGCACUCAAAGAAAUCCAGUGCUGUGGUGUUUCCACAGGCGGGAGUAACCACGGAGCAGUGAAAAUAUUCCCAGUCAUAAUCCAGUAUUUUGGCUGGAAGAAGGGUGGCGUGCAAACAAAAUUGAUUGAAGUUAAAGACACACCCAAUGAGACAGCAGAAACCAUUGCAAAAUAUCUCACAGAAACCCUGGCAAAAAAC